AUCUGUUCCAUCACUCUCUCUUUCUCACCAUGGCUCUCAGUUCCCCUUCUGGGGGUGUACUGUUCAGUCACCGACUCUUUUAUCUGAGUAAUUUCUGAUUAGUAAUUAACAGGUUUUUCUGUCUCUCAGGUGGGGCGAACGUUCCCAGUGCCGGCUGAUGAUGUCAUCCUUCUGGUCAUCCCACCGCCGGUCAGGUUCUCCUACCCCUGCACAUGCUACAACUUCUAUUCACAUGUCAAAACUUUGUUCAGAAAAUUGGUGAUACAACAAUUCUUCACUUCCUUGCAGUAUCUACCAAUAAUGGACCAACUCCUGUUCUGAGCUGCUCAAAUCCAUGUGUCACUGGAAUCAAUGGAAGUUGUGCAUGAAACAUCUGAGGGCAGAAUGGAUCCUGCAUUCUUUGAAGAGCUUUGUUUUUUCCAGCACACUUUUCAGUGACCCUCAUCAGGCUUUUAGCUAGCACAAGAAAAUGUGGGCACUCAUCCCAGUAGUUACAGGGCUUUAAAGCAACCCAUUGUUUCAUACAACAAUAGUAGCUUUAAUUGAACUAAAGAUAUUUUUCUUUAAAAUCUUCUUAUCAUCUGCCUUUAUGUUCUCUAAUUACACCAUCAAAGCUUAAAAAGCCACAGGUUUCUUGUAGUCCACAUUUCUGCCAAGCAUUCAGGACCAGUUUGACACCUGGCUAUUGAUUUGUUUAAAUAUAAUGUCGAGGUAAGGUAAACGUAAUUCUGAAACUGACAGUGUUGUACUCAGUUUCAAAUUCAAAGAAUCCAAGAGCUACUGAAGACGAUUUAUCUUUUUUUAGCAGAACUUCAUCAGAGGAACAGGAACACCCUUAGCAUUCUGCACACACACCAAGCUGUGCUCCGAAAAUAUUUUACUUAUGAGUAAUUGGGGAAAUGAGUUUUUCCACUGUGCUAGAGUUUCUGUACAUUUUACUUAUAUGACUCAUCAGAUGACUCAACUCAGGGUGCAGAGCAUCUAGUACAGGCAUCCUUGAAUUUCCACUCAUUUUUAGUCAAGCAUGUGUCAUCACAGUACAUGUGUUUCAAGGUAAUUAAAUAUUUAUCCUACUUAUUUAUUCAA